CAGUCGACGAUGAUCAGGAGCUUGCUCCUGUGAUUAGUGGCGAACGGGUGACUUUACGUGAGUAACCUGCCCCUGACUCUGGGAUAAGCGUUGGAAACGACGUCUAAUACUGGAUACGACUGCCGGCCGCAUGGUCUGGUGGUGGAAAGAUUUUUUGGUUGGGGAUGGACUCGCGGCCUAUCAGCUUGUUGGUGAGGUAAUGGCUCACCAAGGCGACGACGGGUAGCCGGCCUGAGAGGGUGACCGGCCACACUGGGACUGAGACACGGCCCAGACUCCUACGGGAGGCAGCAGUGGGGAAUAUUGCACAAUGGGCGAAAGCCUGAUGCAGCAACGCCGCGUGAGGGAUGACGGCCUUCGGGUUGUAAACCUCUUUUAGUAGGGAAGAAGCGAAAGUGACGGUACCUGCAGAAAAAGCACCGGCUAACUACGUGCCAGCAGCCGCGGUAAUACGUAGGGUGCAAGCGUUGUCCGGAAUUAUUGGGCGUAAAGAGCUCGUAGGCGGUUUGUCGCGUCUGCUGUGAAAUCCCGAGGCUCAACCUCGGGCUUGCAGUGGGUACGGGCAGACUAGAGUGCGGUAGGGGAGAUUGGAAUUCCUGGUGUAGCGGUGGAAUGCGCAGAUAUCAGGAGGAACACCGAUGGCGAAGGCAGAUCUCUGGGCCGUAACUGACGCUGAGGAGCGAAAGCGUGGGGAGCGAACAGGAUUAGAUACCCUGGUAGUCCACGCCGUAAACGUUGGGCGCUAGAUGUAGGGACCUUUCCACGGUUUCUGUGUC
rnacentral:rRNA from 1 species